UACGGAGGAUGCAAGCGUUAUCCGGAAUGAUUGGGCGUAAAGCGUCCGCAGGUGGCUAUGUAAGUCUGCUGUUAAAGAGUGAGGCUCAACCUCAUAAGAGCAGUGGAAACUACAUGGCUAGAGUGCGUUCGGGGCAGAGGGAAUUCCUGGUGUAGCGGUGAAAUGCGUAGAGAUCAGGAAGAGCACCGGUGGCGAAAGCGCUCUGCUAGGCCGCAACUGACACUCAUGGACGAAAGCUAGGGGAGCGAAUGGG
rnacentral:rRNA from 1 species